GUGAGGAAUAUUGGUCAAUGGGCGGAAGCCUGAACCAGCCAAGUAGCGUGCAGGAUGACGGCCCUACGGGUUGUAAACUGCUUUUAUGCGGGGAUAAAGCGCGGGUCGUGACCCGUUUUGCAGGUACCGCAUGAAUAAGGACCGGCUAAUUCCGUGCCAGCAGCCGCGGUAAUACGGAAGGUCCGGGCGUUAUCCGGAUUUAUUGGGUUUAAAGGGAGCGUAGGCCGCCGUUCAAGCGUGCCGUGAAAUGCGGUUGCUCAACAUCCGCACUGCGGCGCGAACUGUCCGGCUUGAGUCAACUGUAAGCAGGCGGAAUUCGUGGUGUAGCGGUGAAAUGCUUAGAUAUCACGAGGAACCCCGAUUGCGAAGGCAGCUUGCUGUCGUUGGACUGACGCUGAAGCUCGAAGGUGCGGGUAUCGAACAGGAUUAGAUACCCUAGUAGUCC
rnacentral:rRNA from 1 species